rnacentral:misc_RNA from 1 species
GAUGGAGGGGGAGGAGGGGAAGGCGGUAAGGAGGAGGGCGGAGGAGCUGAUGGUGGCGGGAGCGACGGCAUUAGCGGAAGGGGGUUCCUCGUGGAGGGGACUGAAUGAGGUGGCGGAGAAGUGGAAGAAAACUGAGGUUUCUUUUUAGAUAUUUCAUUGUAUGUUUUCUUUAUAUUUAUCUGGUCAGCGGACUGGUGGAAAAGUAGAAGAAACUGAG